GUGGUGGUGGCGGCGGUGCUGGUGGCGAGCGCGGACCGUCCCCCUUUAGUCCCAGCUAGGGAGAGAGGCUGGAGCAAGGGCAAUCAGCGGGCUGGGUCGGGGUGCGCCCGCGGAGGUGGGGGUGGGGGAGACGUGCGCGCAAGCUCGGGGACUCGGGCGCAGUCCACGUAGCCUCGGGGCGGCUCUCCAGUCUGCCGGCGCAGCCGGGAGACGGGCUCCUGGCGGUGAGAUUAGGCGGUGGGGUGUGGGGUGGCGGGCCAGACUAAUGCGGGACGGUCGGGUGCGGGAGACAGGGCUGGGGAGGGCAAAGGAGGCUCAGAGAGCAAUUUUCCAGUCCGGCCACGACAAGCCCCAUUGGGCUCCCAGCAGCCGUGGGGGCAGUGGGGGAGGGGGGAGGGCGCACGGGGCGGGCACGUCUGGUUCGGUGUCUGGUUCCCGUUGUUGUGUCUGGCUAAUUCCCUGGAAAGAAGAAGGCUAACUGCUUCGGGGACGCGGGCUUUGGUGAGACAAGGAAGGGUGUUGCGAUAAGAUUGUUCCUAUGAAGAAUUCUGCCUCGCUGAGCGCUUUUCCCUCCUACUGGCUCUCCUCCUCCCUCGCCCACGUCUUUGAGCAGACGAGAGCCGUGACUUUGCCUUUCCAGCGGUUCCGCCAGGCAAGACGACGUUGGUUUUUCUAUGUGUAGGGGGUUGACACGGUGGAACCAAGUGAUUUACUUGGUUCACAGUGAUGUUCCCCCUGUCCCCGCAGCCCCCGUGGCGGAGCAGACGGCAUGGGUUAUUUAUGGCACAGUCCGUGGCUUCGCUGGUCCACCGGAACCCCAGCCCUCCCCUGUGAACGUUUCAUCAUCUCUCCCCAAGACACAGGGUGGAUGCCUAAAAUCUUACAAAUGGCUGAAAAUUUCCAUAAGGGAGAGUGAGGUGAGUGGAUAUAGUGUCGCCAAUAUAAACGGAAUUUCGCUGUGGGAUUUGAAAAAAACCACUUUGCUCUUGAUACUAAAGAAAAUGUUGCCUUCUCCUCUCCACCUGACACUAAAAGCUCGGGCACCUUUCAAGG